rnacentral:siRNA from 1 species
ACCGGCACCAAUGGGAUGGCGU